CAGCCGCCGCGGUAAUACGGAGGGUGCAAGCGUUAAUCGGAAUUACUGGGCGUAAAGCGUGCGUAGGCGGUUCGUUAAGUCUGUUGUGAAAGCCCCGGGCUCAACCUGGGAAUGGCAAUGGAUACUGGCGAGCUAGAGUGUGUCAGAGGAUGGUGGAAUUCCCGGUGUAGCGGUGAAUGCGUAGAGAUCGGGAGGAACAUCAGUGGCGAAGGCGGCCAUCUGGGACAACACUGACGCUGAGGCGCGAAAGCGUGGGGAGCAAACCGGAUUAGAUACCCGUGUAGUCCCUGUCUCUUAUACC
rnacentral:rRNA from 1 species